GAAAGAAACGAUCUCCGAGCCUCCGCGUCUAACGGUCCGACGACCCAUGACGCUCAGGCCGGUCAGGGUGCGCGUGGAAACGCGCGCGCCUCCCGUGUUUGGAAAGGAGAUAUCAUGACGACGCC
rnacentral:ncRNA from 2 species